GACGAACGCUGGCGGCGUGCUUAACACAUGCAAGUCGAACGGAAAGGCCCUGCUUUUGUGGGGUGCUCGAGUGGCGAACGGGUGAGUAACACGUGAGUAACCUGCACUUGAAUUUGGGAUAACUUCAGGAAACUGGGGCUAAUACCGGAUAGGAGCUCCUGCUGCAUGGUGGGGGUUGGAAAGUUUCGGCGGUGGGGGAUGGAUUCGCGGCUUAUCAGCUUGUUGGUGGGGUAGUGGCUUACCAAGGCUUUGACGGGUAGCCGGCCUGAGAGGGUGACCGGCCACAUUGGGACUGCGAUACGGCCCAGACUCCUACGGGAGGCAGCAGUGGGGAAUAUUGCACAAUGGGCCGAAGCCUGAUGCAGCAACGCCGCGUGCGUGAUGACGGCCUUCGGGUUGUAAACCGCUUUCUCCUGUGACGAAGCGUGAGUGACGGUAAUGGGUAAAGAAGCACCGGCUAACUACGUG
rnacentral:rRNA from 1 species